GGCUUUGCACAAGCUCGCACGGGCCUCUACAGGCUCGCAGAGGCCUGCUACGGGCUUGUGUGGGCUCGCACGGGCGCGCACGGGCUCGCAAAAGUUCGCACGGGCCUCUACGGGCUCGCAGAGGCCUCCUACGUGCUCGUGCGGGCUCGCACGGGCGCGCACAGGCUUGCACAAGCUCGCACGGCCCCCUACGGGCUCGUACGGGCUGGCAGGGGCUGACACGGGCUUGCACAAGCUCGCACGGGCCUCUACGGGCUUGCAGAGGCCUCCUACGGGCUCGUAUGGGCUCGCACGGGCUUGCACAAGCUCGCACGGGCCUCUACGGGCUCGCAGAGGCCUCCUACGGGCUCCUACGGGUUCGCACGGGCGCGCACGGGCCUCUACGGGCUCUCAGAGGCCUCCUACGGGCUUGUACGGGCUCGUGCGGGCUCGCACGGGCUCGCACGGGCUCGCACAAGCUCGCACGGGCCUCUACGGGCUCGCAGAGGCCUCCUACGGGCUCGUACGGGCUCGCACGGGCUCGCACGGGCGCGCACAGAAUGACAAGGGCUCGCUCAAGCUCGCACGUGCCUCUACGGCCUCGCAGAGGCCUCCU
rnacentral:lncRNA from 1 species